rnacentral:rRNA from 1 species
GAGUUUGAUCGUGGCUCAGAUUGAACGCUGGCGGCAGGCCUAACACAUGCAAGUCGAGCGGAUGACGGGAGCUUGCUCCUUGAUUCAGCGGCGGACGGGUGAGUAAUGCCUGGGAAUCUGCCUGGUAGUGGGGGACAACGUUUCGAAAGGAACGCUAAUACCGCAUACGUCCUACGGGAGAAAGCAGGGGACCUUCGGGCCUUGCGCUAUCAGAUGAGCCUAGGUCGGAUUAGCUAGUUGGUGGGGUAAUGGCUCACCAAGGCGACGAUCCGUAACUGGUCUGAGAGGAUGAUCAGUCACACUGGAACUGAGACACGGUCCAGACUCCUACGGGAGGCAGCAGUGGGGAAUAUUGGACAAUGGGCGAAAGCCUGAGUCCAGCCAUGCCGCGUGUGUGAAGAAGGUCUUCGGAUUGUAAAGCACUUUAAGUGGGUGAAGGGCAGUAAGUUAAUACCUUGCUGUUUUGACGUUACCGACAGAAUAAGCACCGGCUAACGUCUAGUGCCAGC